rnacentral:tRNA from 1 species
GAAAUAUUAUGUUUAAAGAAAAGCUGCUAACUUUAUCUUUUAAUGGUUAAAUUCCAUUUAUAUUUCU